rnacentral:lncRNA from 1 species
AGUAUUUUUGUUGCUGGCUCAUCCUUCUUGUCUUCUCAGAUGUCAGCCUCCUAUCCGUGGCCUGUGGGCUACUUGGCGGACCCUCUAGAAAUGUACCUCGACAGUUGUUCAUGUCUUUUAACAAUUUCUUUUAUAUUGUUGAGCAGAUGGAACAAUUAUUUAAGUCUAUUUUCAUUCCUCAUACCCCACAAAUCUACACAAGUGUUUAGUGACAUAAGUGUAAAUAUUAUUGAAACAUCAAAAUAUCUUGCUGUCUGCAUCCAGUUGCUAGUUCACAGCAUUCAGGUGACAGUGGCUGUAUUUGUAGAGCCUGAGGAAAAUGACAUAAGAUGUUUUCUUUGACAGUGGUUGUCUUACGUAUUUGGAUAUACCCAUUGUGUAAAUAUGCGUUGAACGAAGGAGCUGUGUCAUCCACAUCUAACAGAGGUGAAAACAAAAGUCUACCAUAAGGUCUGUCUGCCUUUAGCCAAAUGGGAAGUGAUGUUUCUGCACAUUGUCACAAGUGCGUAGCCAACCAUAACCUCUUCUUGAGCAACUUAAGCUGGCACAGGAAAUCUGAGACAUGACUAAAUGACGUGUCAGGAAAGAAGAAUUUCUGAAAUGUUGUUUAAACAAAAACUGGCAGAUAUGUAACAUUUCUCUAUCAAUGCAAGAAAUCAUCCUACAUGAAAAAGGAAGCUCAAAAUUUUGUUUAUGUAAAAACUUUUUUAAAUUACUUGAGUUUUGUUAACAUUUAUCCUUUUACAUAGGGUUGCUAAAGUUAGCGAAUAAAUUAUAGGAUACCCAGUUAAAAUUUAAUUUCAGGUAAACAACAAAUAGAUUUUUAGUAUAAGUAGGUCCCAUGAAAUGUUUAUGACAUAUAUAUACUAAAAACUCAUUCAUUAUUUAAUCUAAAAUUUAUAUUUAGCUUGGCAUCCUAUAUUUUGUCUGGCAACCCUCCUUUUAAGAAAAUCUAAUAAUCCAUAUUUACCUGAUAGGUAAAUUAGAAUACUGAUUCUUUUUUGAAUGAAAAUAAUGUAUUUUUUUAAAUUUUUCUAACUUUAGUUCCUCUAAUAGAAAUUAAUUUAGAUAACUAAGGAACCAUAGGAAUUUAAAAGCUGACCUAUCAGAAAUAACUUCAGCUAUAUUACAUUAAAAAUGAAGAGAUGGAAUCUGAAAUAGGAAAGUAAGAUUUAUACCCAUUAUUCAGCCAAAAUCUGUUUUUCUUUAACUUCUACCCAUUGUUCCUAAGUCUGCCCUCUGGGGGCUGUAGAAAAUAAUGAAGAUGAUGUUAUUAAUGAUAACCAGUGCUUGCUGUAACCAGUUAUGUGCAUUAUUUUAUUGGAUUUAAUUUGUUUACUCUUUAUAACAGCAUGUGAGGGAGGUGCUUUUCUGAUUUCCAUUCUACAAAAUAAGAAACUAAAGCACAGAGUAGUUGAUUAGCUUAACCAUAACCACAUCUCUUUGUCAACUCUUAAAGUACCAGAGCUUUCAUAGUUUUAAAGUUCCCAAUUCCUUCUACCAUUUCUUUUAGUACAGGGUCUCUAGACCCUUUCCUGUCCUCAUUCAACUCUCAGCUUGUUGUGGCUUGUCAGUGCCCUGAAAUAUGUUAUGGCCAAAAUUUAAAAGUAUACUUCAUAGAUCAUAUAAUUUACAAGUAGAGUACAGCAGGAUUUUUAAUGGCCUUGGUACUAAAGUUAUAUUGCCAAUAGUGACCCAUGGAUUAGCUGAGUUUUGUUUCGUUCUAGUUUUUGAAUGGGGAAUGUACUUUUACAUAAUACAGUUGGCUCAGGUUGACCUUUUAGUCAGGUGAAACUUCCAGGUUCUUAUCUGUACUAAAUGCAGACGUUCCUAUGCCUCUGCUUUCUUCCCAGUUGGCUUGAGUAGAUGUCCAAGGGAUUGACAUCAGCAUGUCUAUAUUGUUUGACCAUUUCAGCUUUGGGGAAGAAGAAGGAGCCCAGCUAUGUUGUGUUUUUUGCUAGUAUGAUGUUGGGCUAACUUUUAUAGCAUUUUUCCUUUUUGGAUAACUUAAUUUACCACGUAAUUGUCCAUGCUGGGGUGGAGCAAAGAUUUAUCCAAAAGGUUACUUUUAUUAGAAAAGUGUACUGCUUUAGGGUUUUGAAUUUCUGACUACUGGCUGACAGUAACCUUAUUUGCUGAGUAUCAGUUGUCGUUCAGUUACUCUUUCCCUGUCUCAUUGGCUUUUCUCUCCCUGUUUCCCAUUUUGACUUUAUACUGAAUAAAAUCAAACGUCUAAGUACUCUACUUACUAUAUACACCUUGCCAUUUAUAUGUAACAAGUCUCUUGCAGGAAAGUGUUCAAAUGAUGCGAUCUUUGUUUUAUGCUAUUGGAAAAUAUACUUGUCAACCUUAAGAAAUAGUAUAUUCAGUCAACGCUUCAUUAAAUGUAGUAUUCUUUCCUGAAAAAUAAAACCCAGUGCUCUGUUUAGUUCUUACCUACAUUAUAGUCUGCAAAUAAGACAUAUGACAAAUUGGUUCCCUCCAGUUAUCACCCAAUGAGAAUGUAAAAUACUUCAUCUUCUCUCUAGUAUAUUUUUUACUCCUUUAAAACUUAGCUGAAGUCGUACCUUCUUAGAGUUCACCACCCUGGCUGAAUCAUACCUAUCCUCCUCUCUCUUCCCUAUCUCAGAUUGCUUUUAAUUGCCCUGGCCAGCCAUCCAGAAAGAAGCACUGUCUUAAUGGCCUUUCUGACCAGGACCUCGAUGUCAGGAUGUUGAUGGGUUGGUUUGUCUGGUAUCAUGGCAGUAGCCAGUUCAAAUCUAGGAGUAGG